AGCUCUUGCUCUUGUUCCUUUGCCUGCUUGCUGCGUGAGACUGAGUAACUGCUAGAUCCUUGGACUUCCAUUCACAGCUGCGACUGAACAAUUGUUGGGAAUUCGGCUGCCGACUGAGCAAGAAGCAAGAGCCAGAGCAAGAGAGAGAAAGAAAAAGAACAAGAAAGCAAGAGAGAGAGAGAAAAAGCAAGAACAAGAGAGAGAGAAAAAGCAAGAACAAGAGAGAGAAAAAGCAAGAACAAGAGAGAGAAAAAGCAAGAACAAGAGAGAGAAAAAGCAAGAACAAGAGAGAGAAAAAGCAAGAACAAGAGAGAGAGAAAGCAAGAACAAGAGAGAGAAAAAGAACAAGAAAGCAAGAGAGAGAGAAAAAGAAUGGCAAAACCCCGUCCCUUUUAAGGAGAAUUAUCCUCCGCCUAGGACGCAUUACUCCCUGAUUGGCUGCAGCCCAUCGGCUCAGUUGUCAUCACGAGAAAGGCAGAACACAUGGCGGGAAAACUGCCCCUGCACGUGUGCAGAUUAUGUUUACCACUUAGAACACAGCUGUCAGCACCAUCUUAUAAUGGCAAAUGUGAGGGCGGCUCCCAACACCAACCCAUGUAGGAUACCUUUAGAAUAAACAGAUUGAAAC
rnacentral:lncRNA from 1 species